rnacentral:rRNA from 1 species
AACGAACGCUGGCGGCAUGCCUAACACAUGCAAGUCGAACGAUACCUUCGGGUCUAGUGGCGCACGGGUGCGUAACGCGUGGGAACCUGCCCUUAGGUUCGGAAUAACUCCCCGAAAGGGGUGCUAAUACCGGAUAAUGUCUUCGGACCAAAGAUUUAUCGCCUUUGGAUGGGCCCGCGUUGGAUUAGCUAGUUGGUAGGGUAAAAGCCUACCAAGGCGACGAUCCAUAGCUGGUCUGAGAGGAUGAUCAGCCACACUGGGACUGAGACACGGCCCAGACUCCUACGGGAAGCAGCAGUGGGGAAUAUUGGACAAUGGGCGAAAGCCUGAUCCAGCAAUGCCGCGUGAGUGAUGAAGGCCUUAGGGUUGUAAAGCUCUUUUACCCGGGAUGAUAAUGACAGUACCGGGAGAAUAAGCCCCGGCUAACUCCGUG